AAUAAACAGAUAUUAAAGUAACGUAAAUCAAUCUCAGACCGUCUGAUAGACACAGAGCCCUGUUUGAGACUCUGGUCUCUGAAUGAGACAAAGUUUAGGGAAGUGGCUGUACGCUGCUCUACAUCGGAGGUCGGAAACCGAAACUACGAAAUCUGCCGCAGCAUGUCGACAGCAG